AGAGUUUGAUCCUGGCUCAGGACGAACGCUGGCGGCACGCUUAACACAUGCAAGUCGAACGCUUUCGAGACUUCGGUCUCAAUGAAAGAGUGGCGAACGGGUGAGUAACACGUGAGAAACCUGCCUUGAAGAUUGGGACAACCACUGGAAACGGUGGCUAAUACCGAAUACCUUCCUACCGUCGCAUGGCGGUUUGAAGAAAUGCUCCGGCGCUUCAAGAGGGUCUCGCGGCCUAUCAGCUAGUUGGUGAGGUAAUGGCUCACCAAGGCAUCGACGGGUAGCUGGUCUGAGAGGACGAUCAGCCACACUGGGACUGAGACACGGCCCAGACUCCUACGGGAGGCAGCAGUGGGGAAUCUUGCGCAAUGGGCGAAAGCCUGACGCAGCGAUGCCGCGUGGGGGAUGAAGGCUCUCGGGUCGUAAACCCCUUUCAGCAGGGACGAAAAUGACGGUACCUGCAGAAGAAGCCCCGGCCAACUACGUGCCAGCAGCCGCGGUAAUA
rnacentral:rRNA from 1 species